rnacentral:rRNA from 1 species
UACGGGGGGAGCAAGCGUUGUUCGGAUUUACUGGGCGUAAAGGGCGCGUAGGCGGCACCGCAAGUCGGUUGUGAAAUCUCCGGGCUUAACUCCGAAACUGCAUUCGAUACUGCCGUGCUUGAGGACUGGAGAGGAGACUGGAAUUUACGGUGUAGCGGUGAAAUGCGUAGAUAUCGUAAGGAAGACCAGUGGCGAAGGCGGGUCUCUGGACAGUUCCUGACGCUGAGGCACGAAGGUCAGGGGAGCAAACGGG